rnacentral:rRNA from 1 species
UCUUGGGUCAUUUAGAGGAAGUAAAAGUCGUAACAAGGUCUCCGUUGGUGAACCAGCGGAGGGAUCAUUAUCGAGUUAUUCAACUCCCAAACCCUAUGUGAACUUACCACUUGUUGCUUCGGCGCGCGCUUCGGCGCCGCCGAGGACACUUAAACUCUUUGUUUUUAUAAGCAUUUCUGAGUGGCCGAAAGGCAAAAAUACAAAUGAAUCAAAACUUUCAACAACGGAUCUCUUGGUUCUGGCAUCGAUGAAGAACGCAGCGAAAUGCGAUAAGUAAUGUGAAUUGCAGAAUUCAGUGAAUCAUCGAAUCUUUGAACGCACAUUGCGCCCGCCAGCAUUCUGGCGGGCAUGCCUGUUCGAGCGUCAUUUCAACCCUCGAGCCCGACUCUUUUGAGGACGGCUCGGCGUUGGGGGACGGCAGACUCCCCCCGGCAUCUCGCCGGGGACGCCGCCCCCGAAAUCUAGUGGCGGCCCUCCGAGGCGACCUCUGCGUAGUAACUUGUUCUCGCACCGGAAAGCUCAGAGCGGCCACGCCGUAAAACCCCAACUUUUUUCAGGUUGACCUCGAAUCAGGUAGGACUACC